CAGCCCUCACGCCUUCUCUCCAUUGUCUCUCAUGUUCUGUUUAUGGAAAAAAAUUGGCCUUAAUGCUCAUUACUAUUUUUAACAGAUUUAUUUUCAUUUAUUUGAAAGAAGAGUAGCAGAAAGAGAAGGGGAGAGAGAAAGAGACAAAGAGACAGAGAAAGUGAGAUCUUCUGUCCUCUGGUUCACUCCCCAAAUGGUCACAAUGGCCAGGGCUGGGCCAGGCCAAAGCCAGGAGCCUGGGAUUCAAUCCAGGUCUUCCACAUGGGCGGCAGGGGCCCGUGCACAUUAGCAGGGAGCUGGAUUAGAAACAGAGCAGCCAGGUCUUAAGCCGGUACCAGGAUACGGGAUGCCAGCAUCGCCGGCAGUGGCUUAACCUGGUGCACCGUGACGCCGGCCCCUAAUGCUCACAACUUUGAGUUUUGUUUGUAUGGGCAACAAGUGACUCCUUAUACAGUCUUCAUGCCAGGUAGCUGGGAGUGUGAGCCAGAGAUGGAGAUGUAAUGGUAUUUGGCCACCAAGGAGGGAGGGACACGCUUGGCAUUCAGUGGGUUCAGGAGGAAUUCAUCCAGAAGCUGCUCUGGGCCAGUUAUUUGGGAAUAACUGAGAACAACGUUCCUACCCUGCUCCUGCAAUCUGGCAGGUCCAGGGUAUGCUGAGGGCAUGUGGAGUCAGGGAGGGCUUCUGGGAGGAGGGGACCCUGAAUCAGACAUGAGUUCAAAUGGAGGCUAUAUCGCUCCAAAUGUAUCAAUCUCUCUAGCCUUCUUUCCUUACCACUUAAAUGGAGCUGUUGAGAAGCGAAAUCACACGACAGUUGCCCUAGACAUUCCAGUAGGUGGCGUUGUUACAGUCUUGGCGUGGAACCUACUGCUAAUAAGCAGGGCUGCUCUCUAGUAACCCGUUCUUCUUUUCCAAGGGUUGUGUUCACUUCUAGUAACCAAUCCCAGUCUACACCGAAUCCAGCUCUCUAAAACCAGGACGGCACCUACAGGCACGAGGUGUUUUAAAUGGUGCCAUCCAUGGGAUUUGCCAAGGCAGUUCCACAUAGCUCCUGCACCUGCCGUCCCCUGCUCUCCAACAAGUCUGCCCCAAUCCACGGGGUCGCUGGGGACUGGCAGACCUGGAGCCAGACCUCCCAUCCCCAAUGCUGCCUUUCCCUCGCGGGCUAUCCACAACGACACGUCCUCUGCCUUCUCGCAGGAGCACACGGAUGUGGAACAGUCCCGGCCUGUGGGAUUGCGUCCUGAUGAUGAUUCCUGUGUAAUAUCGCUGUUAUUUCUCCACAGAGCACCACUGAGUGAAGCCAAGUUGCUGAGGCAGACGGUAGGCGGAUGUCACUGCAUUAAAGGGCAUUCUCCCCUGUGGCUUUAAUAAUUUAUACCUUAGUAGCUGUGCACUUAGCUAAUUAAAACUACUGAAUAUCACAGAUGAGAAAGAGGCUUCUUAUUAACGUGUCUGUUUACUACCUUGGCAGUUUGUAAGAAGCAAAUAUUUUUGCUCCUCCAGACAUAAAAGAACAAAGUUACUCAGCCAUGGGAAAUCCACUUUGGAAAACAAAUGAAUCUGUGAGGCUCCCCAGGACGCUGCAGGCUCGGUGCGGAGUAGAUGAUAAAGUGGAAUGCCUGGAGAAAAACAGCUCUCGUUCAAUAAGGGGAUUGAACUUUCUUCAUCCCAGUAUCAGCCUGUGAUCCACGCUGCUUUCUCCCAUGUUGUCAACGAAAGGACCUGUGUUAAACACAAUUCUCUGGUGUCCCCUUGCAAAGGAUACAAGGACUUCACUGAGGAGCAGAUUUCCGGAAGUCAGCUCAGCUGAAGGGCCCGAAGAACUCCCAGGCAAAUGCUCACUUGGAGGUGACGACACCUGCCUUUGCUCUCUGCAAAGUCCUUUAAAAAAGACAAUCAUCAGGGAAUGGACUCGCCCGGAAAGGGCCCCAUCUGAACGGUGCUGAGAGAAGGGCAGAGGCCAGAGCCACGUCUUCUGACCCUUUCAGUGUGAUGGACUCCUUCAAGGAUCUAAUGGAAGACAUGAAGGGCUGCCUUGAGGAUGGCCGGCUGGGCGGGACAGCAGGUCUGCGUGGAUCCCUGCCAUGUCUCCAGCACCAAGGACAGCACCAGCACCAGCCCGUGAGCCGCACGAAGGCAGGCAGAGACAACGCAGGAGAAGCUUGCGUGUGGUCGUGGUGAUUCUCAGGUGUGGCCCAGGAAAGAAAUCUCCAGGGAGGUGGGUGGGGUCAGGGAAGGUGUCUCCCGGGAGGAGAGGCUUAAACUGAGCCCCAAAAGAUGAGACCUAGGGGCGGAGCAUGUCAGAAGGAGAGUAUGCAAAGAACCUAAA